ACGAUGACGCGAGUUAUCGUCUCUAACGUUCGAGGACUACAAAAAACACUCGGAUUGUAGGCAACAGUUUACUUCCUGGGAUUAGUGACGUAGAUAAGACCAACAUUAUCAUAGUUCAGCCCUCUCUGCUUUGCUUGGGUACGCCCUCAAAGACGAGGGUGGGGAGCGCCGAGUCAGAAGAGAGCUAAAAUGGCGGAGGUUGUGAGUCCCUGCUUUGACUCUGUUUGCAAACUCUUGUUUCAUUGUUUAAGCGAUUAAAUCUCUCGAGUAGACGCUGUCUCUUUAGAUGCGAGGGCAAAAUAGCACUUUAUGGACUUCCACAGAGGACAUCAUGUUUAAUACGGUUCCGGAAAAAUCCAGUCAGAAGUUGUUCACGGAGUUUUCACAAUAACUGCUUCUCAUGAACCGAAGCUGGAUUUGCGCGACGUCUCCUCUUGAAAGUUGGAUUACUGUGCACUUCUGGAUCACAGGCUAUUCGCAGCUGGACACAUCCUUCUACACUGUAUGCAAACAUGCAACAUCAUUACACACAGUACAAGGAGUCAGACUGGCAUAUGAGGAGCAAAGGAACCCAGGCAGUAGCAUCGUUUCACAAUGUUUCCAUCACCAUCAUCAGUGGAUGCCUUUGCCGUCCGUAGCCUGAGAUUUCAGAUUUGCAGCAAAAAAUUUUUGAUUUUCUCAUUUAUUGGAAUGCUGUGCAGGUAUUUGUACCUUGCAGCCAUCCAUUACAAUGUCACCAAGCCGUAACAAAAGCAGGAGAGGGAAAGUACAAGGCUAUGUUCCCAAAACACACAAGUGACAUUCCGUAAGCAGUAAUG